rnacentral:snRNA from 1 species
GUGCUUGCUUCGGCAGCGCAUAUACUAAAAUUGGAACGAUACAGAGAAGAUUAGCAUGGCCCUGUGCAAGGAUGACAUGCAAAUUCGUGAAGCGUUCCAUAUUUUU